rnacentral:rRNA from 1 species
CGGAUUACUGGGCGUAAGCGCACGCAGGCGGUCUGUCAAGUCGGAUGUGAAAUCCCCGGGCUCAACCUGGGAACUGCAUUCGAAACUGGCAGGCUAGAGUCUUGUAGAGGGGGGUAGAAUUCCAGGUGUAGCGGUGAAAUGCGUAGAGAUCUGGAGGAAUACCGGUGGCGAAGGCGGCCCCCUGGACAAAGACUGACGCUCAGGUGCGAAAGCGUGGGGAGCAAACAGGAUUAGAUACCCUGGUAGUCCACGCCGUAAACGAUGUCGAUUUGGAGGUUGUGCCCUUGAGGCGUGGCUUCCGGAGCUAACGCGUUAAAUCGACCGCCUGGGGAGUACGGCCGCAAGGUUAAAACUCAAAUGAAUUGACGGGGGCCCGCACAAGCGGUGGAGCAUGUGGUUUAAUUCGAUGCAACGCGAAGAACCUUACCUGGUCUUGACAUCCACAGAACUUUCCAGAGAUGGAUUGGUGCCUUCGGGAACUGUGAGACAGGUGCUGCAUGGCUGUCGUCAGCUCGUGUUGUGAAAUGUUGGGUUAAGUCCCGCAACGAGCGCAACCCUUAUCCUUUGUUGCCAGCGGUUAGGCCGGGAACUCAAAGGAGACUGCCAGUGAUAAACUGGAGGAAGGUGGGGAUGACGUCAAGUCAUCAUGGCCCUUACGACCAGGGCUACACACGUGCUACAAUGGCAUAUACAAAGAGAAGCGACCUCGCGAGAGCAAGCGGACCUCAUAAAGUAUGUCGUAGUCCGGAUUGGAGUCUGCAACUCGACUCCAUGAAGUCGGAAUCGCUAGUAAUCGUAAUCAGAAUGCUACGGUGAAUACGUUCCCGGGCCUUGUACACACCGCCCGUCACACCAUGGGAGUGGGUUGCAAAAGAAGUAGGAGCUUAACCUUCGGGAGGGCGCUUACCACUUUGUGAUUCAUGACUGGGGUGAAAAAAAACGGUUUUCGAAAAUUCGAGGGUAACACCUACUCGGCAGCGGGGGGGC